rnacentral:rRNA from 1 species
CCUACGGGUGGCAGCAGUGGGGAAUAUUGGACAAUGGGCGAAAGCCUGAUCCAGCCAUGCCGCGUGUGUGAAGAAGGCCUUCGGGUUGUAAAGCACUUUCAGUGGGGAAGAAAGCCUUGGGGCUAAUACCCUCGAGGAAGGACAUCACCCACAGAAGAAGCACCGGCUAACUCCGUGCCAGCAGCCGCGGUAAUACGGAGGGUGCGAGCGUUAAUCGGAAUUACUGGGCGUAAAGCGCGCGUAGGCGGUCUGAUAAGCCGGUUGUGAAAGCCCCGGGCUCAACCUGGGAACGGCAUCCGGAACUGUCAGGCUAGAGUGCAGGAGAGGAAGGUAGAAUUCCCGGUGUAGCGGUGAACUGCGUAGAGAUCGGGAGGAAUACCAGUGGCGAAGGCGGCCUUCUGGACUGACACUGACGCUGAGGUGCGAAAGCGUGGGUAGCAAACAGGAUUAGAUACCCGUGUAGUC